UACGUAGGGGGCAAGCGUUGUCCGGAAUUAUUGGGCGUUAAAGCGCGUGUAGGCGGUCCGGUAAGUCGGCUGUGAAAGUCCAGGGCUCAACCCUGGGAUGCCGGUCGAUACUGCCGGACUAGAGUUCGGAAGAGGCGAGUGGAAUUCCCGGUGUAGCGGUGAAAUGCGCAGAUAUCGGGAGGAACACCAAUGGCGAAGGCAGCUCGCUGGGACGUUACUGACGCUGAGACGCGAAAGCGUGGGGAGCAAACAGG
rnacentral:rRNA from 1 species